rnacentral:snoRNA from 1 species
GGGGAAGUGGUGAUGAACAAAUUUUAUUUUGGACUAGAGUUUCAGAUUCUGCUACUUUGUGCUAAUUGAAGAUCAAACUCUUGGCUGUUUGAGCUUCCAG